GACGAACGCUGGCGGCGUGCCUAAUACAUGCAAGUCGAACGCAGUGGGGACGGGUGAGUAACACGUGGGUAACCUCCCAUCAGAGGGGAUAACCCUUGGAAACAGGUGCUAAACCGAUACUGAUGGAUGGACUCGCGGUGCAUUAGCUAGUGGGGGAGGUAACGGCUCACCAAGGCGACGAUGCAUAGCCGGCCUGAGAGGGUGAUCAGCCACACUGGGACUGAGACACGGCCCAGACUCCUACGGGAGGCAGCAGUAGGGAAUAUUCGGCAAUGGGCGAAAGUCUGACCGAGCAACGCCGCGUGAGUGAAGAAGGUUUUCGGAUCGUAAAGCACUGUUGUUAGAGAAGCGGUAUCUAACGAAGAAGCCACGGCUAACUACGUGCCAGCCGCCGCGGUAAUUC
rnacentral:rRNA from 1 species